ensembl:snoRNA U3 Small nucleolar RNA U3
CAGGUCAAUUAGGACAUUCAUUUCUACUGAGGAGCAGGCUGUGUGGCUGGCUUUUAAUUGCUCCUCACUCCACGAGGAGGAGGUGUAGUGUUCUUUCCUGAGCGUGAAGUUGGUUUUUGGUGUUGCAUUAGUGCAAGUGCCAUUUACCGUUGAUGAUCGUUCUUCUCUUCUUCCGGGAGAGUAAGAGGGAAAGAACACAGUCUGAGUGGU